CGCGUAAGAUCGCAAGCUCCUUCUAGAUCUCUCUCGCCUUUGUUGUUGUUGUGGUUCCCGAUUUUCUCUUCUCUGUUUUGGAAGAAGCUUUUCUCCAUAGAGUUUUUGGUGUUCCAGCUUCCCUCUUGUGCGUUUUCCUGCCACGAGAAAACAUCAACUUAGAGCAAAGAAGUUUCUCUUUUUGCUUGCCUUUGGCUGACGCCUUGUCUUGGUUUCUUCUCAGCUUCCACGGCUAUGGACACGACAUGAGCCGCCAGGUAGAAGCCCACCACUACUGCGGCCAUGU
rnacentral:lncRNA from 1 species